UACGAAGGGGGCUAGCGUUGCUCGGAAUCACUGGGCGUAAAGGGCGCGUAGGCGGCCGAUCAAGUCAGAUGUGAAAGUCCUGGGCUUAACCUGGGGACUGCAUUUGAUACUGAUUGGCUUGAAUGCAGGAGAGGAUAGCGGAAUUCCCAGUGUAGAGGUGAAAUUCGUAGAUAUUGGGAAGAACACCGGUGGCGAAGGCGGCUAUCUGGACUGUGAUUGACGCUGAGGCGCGAAAGCGUGGGUAGCGAACAGG
rnacentral:rRNA from 1 species